rnacentral:rRNA from 1 species
UAGUAAUCACAGGUCAGCAUACUGUGGUGAAUACGUUCCCGGGCCUUGUACACACCGCCCGUCACACCAUGAGAGUUGAGAAUACCCGAAGUCCAUGUCAAAGUGGCCGAAGGUAGGCUUGAUGAUUGGGGUGAAGUCGUAACAAGGUACC